rnacentral:rRNA from 1 species
GCGGAGGAAAAGAAACCNACCNGGGAUUGCCUCAGUAACGGCGAGUGAAGCGGCAAGAGCUCAAAUUUGAAAUCUGGCCCUUUCAGGGUCCGAGUUGUAAUUUGCAGAGGAUGCUUCGGGUGCGGUCCCCAUCUAAGUGCCCUGGAACGGGCCGUCAUAGAGGGUGAGAAUCCCGUCUGGGAUGGGCGGCCGUGCCCGUGUGAAGCUCCUUCGACGAGUCGAGUUGUUUGGGAAUGCAGCUCUAAGUGGGUGGUAAAUUUCAUCUAAAGCUAAAUACUGGCCGGAGACCGAUAGCGCACAAGUAGAGUGAUCGAAAGAUGAAAAGCACUUUGAAAAGAGAGUUAAACAGCACGUGAAAUUGUUGAAAGGGAAGCGUUGUCCACCAGACUCGCCCGGGGGGGUUCAGCCGGCACGUGUGCCGGUGUACUCCUCUCCGGGCGGGCCAGCAUCGGUUUGGGCGGCUGGUGAAAGGCCCCGGGAAUGUAGCACCCUUCGGGGUGCCUUAUAGCCCGGGGUGCCAUACAGCCAGCCUGGACCGAGGCCCGCGCUUCGGCGAGGAUGCUGGCGUAAUGGUGGUCAACGGCCCGUCUUGAAACACGGACCAAGGAGUCUAACAUCUAUGCGAGUGUUCGGGUGUCAAACCCGUCCGCGCAGUGAAAGCGAACGGAGGUGGGAGCCUUUCGGGGCGCACCAUCGACCGAUCCUGAAGUCUUCGGAUGGAUUUGAGUAAGAGCAUAGCUGUUGGGACCCGAAAGAUGGUGAACUAUGCCUGAAUAGGGCGAAGCCAGAGGAAACUCUGGUGGAGGCUCGCAGCGGUUCUGACGUGCAAAUCGAUCGUCAAAUUUGGGUAUAGGGGCGAAAGACUAAUCGAACCAUCUGGUAGC